UUAGCUGGUCUCCCUCCUCUCUUUUGUUACUUUUAUAAAUUAGAAUAGAUAAAUAAAACAAAAGAAAACAAAAAAGGAAUAACACUUACUGCAUGCUGGUCUCCCUCCUCUCUUUUGUUACCUUUAUUCAUUCUUUCAUUCAAAGAUAACAAGAAGAGAAAACCCUAGCUAGCCUCCACUGCCGCCAAACGGAGUGACCGGUUGCCGCCGUCCGUGGCUGUCCGAAGAGUUUCUCUUUGUACUGUCGGUGUUUUUCCAGGUCAGAUCCCCUAUUUGAUGUCUUCUUCAUCACUCGGCGCCCAUCCUCCGUCGGAUUCUUCCUGUUGCUCGCGGUCGUCUUGUCGCUGUCGUCUCGGCGUCAUUAUCUCAAAGAUUAUAGAGAAAAAAACCAAUAACUUGAAACACUUGCACACAAACAUGCCCAGUCCUAACAACAGCUUCCCGAUGGAUCCUUUCUUGGGUCCUUUCCCUGUUCUCAGAACCUUGGUUGUAACCAUG